UCUUAUGGAUGAGCAAAGAAAGUGGUUUCUUGAGAUGGAAUCUACUCCUGGUGAAGAUGCUGUGAU
rnacentral:pre_miRNA from 1 species